rnacentral:rRNA from 1 species
UACGUAGGGUGCGAGCGUUAAUCGGAAUUACUGGGCGUAAAGCGUGCGCAGGCGGUUAUUUAAGUCAGGUGUGAAAGCCCUGGGCUUAACCUAGGAAUUGCGCUUGAGACUGGAUAGCUUGGAGUGCGGCAGAGGGAGGUGGAAUUCCACGUGUAGCAGUGAAAUGCGUAGAGAUGUGGAGGAACACCGAUGGCGAAGGCAGCCUCCUGGGCCAGCACUGACGCUCAUGCACGGAAGCGUGGGGAGCAAACAGG